UACGAAGGGGGCUAGCGUUGCUCGGAAUCACUGGGCGUAAAGCGCACGUAGGCGGAUUGCUAAGUCAGGGGUGAAAUCCUGGAGCUCAACUCCAGAACUGCCUUUGAUACUGGCAAUCUCGAGUCCGGGAGAGGUGAGUGGAACUGCGAGUGUAGAUGUGAAAUUCGUAGAUAUUCGCAAGAACACCAGUGGCGAAGGCGGCUCACUGGCCCGGUACUGACGCUGAGGUGCGAAAGCGUGGGGAGCAAACAGG
rnacentral:rRNA from 1 species